rnacentral:rRNA from 1 species
GACGAACGCUGGCGGCGUGCUUAACACAUGCAAGUCGAACGGAAAGGCCCUGCUUUUGUGGGGUGCUCGAGUGGCGAACGGGUGAGUAACACGUGAGUAACCUGCCCUUGACUUUGGGAUAACUUCAGGAAACUGGGGCUAAUACCGGAUAGGAGCUCCUGCUGCAUGGUGGGGGUUGGAAAGUUUCGGCGGUUGGGGAUGGACUCGCGGCUUAUCAGCUUGUUGGUGGGGUAGUGGCUUACCAAGGCUUUGACGGGUAGCCGGCCUGAGAGGGUGACCGGCCACAUUGGGACUGAGAUACGGCCCAGACUCCUACGGGAGGCAGCAGUGGGGAAUAUUGCGCAAUGGGCGGAAGCCUGAUACAGCAACGCCGCGUGCGGGAUGACGGCCUUCGGGUUGUAAACCGCUUUCGCCUGUGACGAAGCGUGAGUGACGGUAAUGGGUAAAGAAGCACCGGCUAACUACGUG